rnacentral:lncRNA from 1 species
UACUUCUUUCUCGGUCCAUUUAACAUGUGGAACACCUUCCACCAUAAAAGCCUCUUUGAACUGAGUAGAUUUGGAUGUUGGUGCUAUCGAACCUCGAUAAGAUUUGUCAUUAUGCAAACUAGGUCGAACAACUUUGUCAAUAGGCCCAUUAAUAUAGGAGUUUUCAGUUUUUGCGCUUGAACCUACCGGCAAUGCAGGAAAUCAGCAACAGAGAAGAGCUGACUAGCCACCGUGCAUGGUUGGCCGGCGGCCGCAAUGUUCAUGACAGGUUAGGGUUGUAGGGGAGAGAAGAGAGCAUUUUUGGAAAAUGGUAUUCUAAUAUUACAUCAAUACACACUUUUGUAAUUGAAAUUUUUUCUAUGGAAGAAUCUACACAUAUUUUUAUUUAAUUCGACCAAAGUUUUGCAUAUUGUAAGG